UGGGGAAUUUUGGACAAUGGGCGAAAGCCUGAUCCAGCAAUGCCGCGUGUGUGAAGAAGGCCUUCGGGUUGUAAAGCACUUUUGUCCGGAAAGAAAUCCUUGGCUCUAAUACAGUCGGGGGAUGACGGUACCGGAAGAAUAAGCACCGGCUAACUACGUGCCAGCAGCCGCGGUAAUACGUAGGGUGCAAGCGUUAAUCGGAAUUACUGGGCUAAAGCGUGCGCAGGCGGUUUGCUAAGACCGAUGUGAAAUCCCCGGGCUCAACCUGGGAACUGCAUUGGUGACUGGCAGGCUAGAGUAUGGCAGAGGGGGGUAGAAUUCCACGUGUAGCAGUGAAAUGCGUAGAGAUGUGGAGGAAUACCGAUGGCGAAGGCAGCCCCCUGGGCCAAUACUGACGCUCAUGCACGAAAGCGUGGGGAGCAAACAGGAUUAGAUACCCUGGUAGUCCACGCCCUAAACGAUGUCAACUAGUUGUUGGGGAUUCAUUUCCUUAGUAACGUAGCUAACGCGUGAAGUUGACCGCCUGGGGAGUACGGUCGCAAGAUUAAAACUCAAAUGAAUUGAC
rnacentral:rRNA from 1 species